GAUGAAGAACGCAGCGAAACGCGAUAUGUAAUGUGAAUUGCAGAAUUCAGUGAAUCAUCGAAUCUUUGAACGCACAUGGCGCCUUCCAGUAUCCUGGGAGGCAUGCCUGUCCGAGCGUCGUUUCAACCCUCGAGCCCCCGUGGCCCGGCGUUGGGGAUCUGCCCAGGCAGUCCCCGAAAACCAGUGGCGGACCCGUUACAGGCCCUUCCCUUGCGUAGUAGCAUUCGCCUCGCAUCGGGAGCCGGCGGGCUUCCAGCCUCUAAACCCCCAUCAAGUCCGCCCCGGCGGCACCAAGGUUGACCUCGGAUCAGGUAUGAAUACCCGCUGAACUUAAGCAUAUCAAUAAGCGGAGGA
rnacentral:misc_RNA from 1 species